rnacentral:rRNA from 1 species
GAUGAACGCUGGCGGCGUGCCUAAUACAUGCAAGUCGAGCGAACGGACGAGAAGCUUGCUUCUCUGAUGUUAGCGGCGGACGGGUGAGUAACACGUGGAUAACCUACCUAUCAGACUGAGAUAACUUCGGGAAACCGUAUCUAAUACCGUAUAAUAUUUUGCACCGCAUGGUUCAAAAGUGAAAGACGGUCUUGCUGUCACUUCUAGAUGGAUCCGCGCUGCAUUAGCUAGUUGGUAAGGUAACGGCUUACCAAGGCAACGAUGCAUAGCCGACCUGAGAGGGUGAUCGGCCACACUGGAACUGAGACACGGUCAAGACGCCUACGGGAGGCAGCAGUAGGGAAUCUUCGGCAAUGGGCGAAAGCCUGACGGAGCAACGCCGCGCGAGUGAUGAAGGUCUUCGGAUCGUAAAACUCUGUUAUUAGGGAAGAACAGAUGUGUAAGUAACUGUGCAGAUCUUGACGGUACCUAAUCAGAAAGCCACGGCUAACUACGUG